rnacentral:tRNA from 1 species
GGAGUUGUGGCUCAGUGGUAGAGCAUCUGCUUGGCAUGCAGAAGGUCCCAGGUUCGAUCCCAGGCAUCUCCA